rnacentral:lncRNA from 1 species
UGACUUUGGCUUUUCAGAGCCUGUUUGAGCUCGACAGAGAUACGCUGCAUACUCGGUUGGGUAGCGCCCACGAGUGCCACUCCGGAGUCAGGCUUUGUGCUUUCGCGUUGGUGUCGCUCAUGCCAGUUGGACUUGCUCUCCACGGACCAGUUAGUGUGGAUAGAGCCCGAUAGUCGCAACGGGGCAGGGACGGGUGUAUUCACAGUCCCGGGGACGGGUAUGCUUACAGUCCCGAUUGGAUUGGGUCAGAUUUGACAUUUCCUACAGUUGGUUAGUGUAGAGCAUGAUAGCGUAGUGAUUGAUAGCGGUAGAGUGUACUUCCUGCUUUUCCUACUAUUUUUGCUCCCUUCUGUAGACUUAGUGGGUAGACCGAUGUUGUUUUGGGCGGCACCCACUGAGGACUACCUGUUUUUACAGUAGUUCUCACGCUCAGUUGUUACUCCUGUUUUGCAGAGCCACAGGUGCCGGCUGCUGCAUCUUCCGCCGACCAGAAUCGAGGCAAGGACGUUGCGAGCUAGAGCCCUACCCGACAGUCAGAGCUAGAGGCUUUCCACUACUGCAGGUAGUUGUUUUGGAGUUUAUGUACAUAGUUGUUUAACUCGCCAGUGCGAGUAACCUUGUAUUUUGGAUUCUAGCUAUGUAUAUGAAACUCAGUUAUUUAGUUUUUUUGAGCAGCUCUAUGCUACUGUUUGUAGUAUCGUAUUUCUACAGGUACUUUGACGUUUCGUAUACAAGGAAAAUUUCUUUGUAUACGGCGGAUUUGUCGGCGUGCCCGGGGAACGAGAUAUCCGGGGCGUGACAGAUUAAGUUGGUAUCAGAGCUUUGCUAUAGGUCGUUGGGACCUAGGAAACCCUAAGUUGGCAAACCUUAAGAAGCAAGACGCGAGAGGCGUCAUUUAAUUGCGAAGGUCAAUGAUUAUUUGUUCUAAUUCCUCCUAGAGUGGAGUGAGUGACUGAAGGAGUUCCUGUUUUGGCCUGAAAAAUUAUGUUGGCUGCAGACGACAUAAUUUUGGAGGAAAACAGGGACCGCCUUCCCGACUUUCGUUGAUUGGGUCUAGAGUGUUGCGUGUAUCUGACCCCGACUUGUUUCUUUUUAGCUAUGUAUCGUCGCCGAGGUCGACCGUCGUUGCGGGAUCGUGCGGGACCUUCUGAGAGAUCUGAGCAGAUGGAGCAGAGUGCUCGGCAGGAGCAGAGGGACAGACCGGAGGUUAGUGCAUCCCCUGUUAUAGAGCCGAGUGCGCUACCUGAGGCUGGCGCAUCCCCUGAUCUGAGUGCACAGUUGGCUGCCCUGACUGAGGUGACGAGGCAGCAGGGGGAGUUAUUGCAGAGGUUGUGUGAGAGGAUAGCUCAGCCACCGAGUUCAGCACCGAGAGUACCAGAGUCGCCAGUGCCACCCCCGACUACUCCAGUGACCGCACCAGCUGCAGCAGUUCCUCCGUCGGCAGCAGUUCCAGUAGCGCCAGUUGCGCCUGCCAGGGGGCUUGUACCAUUGACUGAGGCCGAGCAGGAGCGGUGGACGGAGAGGUUAGCUCGUUUCCGCCGAUUUGAUCCACCGAUCUUCGAUGGUAGAGGCACUGAGGCCUGGGUUGUUGAGGGUUGGGUCAGUGCUAUGGAGAGGUUAUUCGAGGAUCUGUACGUUCCAGAGGGGGAGCAGGUACCUUUGGGAGUACACUGUUUGUCAGGUGAUGCACGUGACUGGUGGCGGAGAGUGAAGCGAGACCAGAGACUGGAGGCAGCGCAGCUGAGGUGGGAUGAGUUCUGUGGAAUGCUGUAUGGGAUGUAUUUUCCCAACAGCAUGAAACAGAAGGUUGAGGAGGAUUUGAAGAGGAUCCAGCAGGGCGAGCGGACAGUUCAGGAGUAUGUUCGGGAGUUUACUAGACUCCUGAACUGUGUUCCGUUCGUGGCCAGAGACGAGGCACAUAGGGUCUACUUGUUCGAGCAGGGUUUGAGACCCGACCUGUUCAGGUUCGUCAGGGCGCAGAGGUCGAGGACUUUGGAUGCGUCCAUUGAGCAGGCAUUAUGAGAGGAGAGAGGAGAGGUGUCGCUGUGGGAGAGAGCUCAGGGGCCGGGACAGAGUCAGGACAGGAAGCGCCCAGCUCCAGACGACGGAGGUCAGUCGAGUAGCAGGCGUCCGCCGAGGCCUCCACGAUCGCGUUCACAGGGUCGUGGAUUCUCGGGGCGUCAGCGAUUCAGGGACUCUCGUCAGAGGGGACAGACAGAGAGGACGCCGCAGUGUGUGAUCUGCGGAGGACCACACUGGCCCAGACAGUGUGAGCAGAGGGAGGGCCGGUGCUACGGGUGUGGUGAGCCGGGACACAUGAGGGCAGCUUGUCCCCGAGCAGCAUCGCCAGCACCAUCAUCAGCUUCAGCUCCACCAGCACCUCAGCAGACUUACAAAGCAGCACCGAGUUACCGCCAGGAGGAUAGGUCGUCCAUGCCGCGACAGAGUGAGCGGCGACAGCAGGCUCCGAGUGGCAGAGUCUAUGCAGCUCAGGUAGAGGACUCUACAGCAGCCGACCGAGUAGUGGCAGGUAUCACUUUGAUUUCUGGCAUUAGAGUUCGCACUCUUUUUGAUAUUGGUGCAUCGCAUUCAUUUGUUAGCCGGGCAUUUGCAUUGUUGCAUGGUCUAGAGUUGGGCAUUGUCACAGGCACGAGAGGUGCAGAUCCCGGACCAUGUUUUACAGGUUGCUGAGUGUUGUUGGUCGUGUCCGGUGCAGUUGGAUUCGUGGGUCAUGCCCGCAGACCUGUUGGAGCUAGGGCAGCUGCAGGACUUUGACGUUGUGCUCGGUAUGGAUUGGCUGGCGCGGUACUAUGCUACUAUUGAUUGUGGAGCGAGGACUGUGACGUUCCGCGAACCAGGCCAGGAGGAGUUUACUUUUAGAGGCUGCAGGAGCACGCUGUUUGCCACCUCGAUAUCUUCGGCGAGGGCUCGACAGAUGCUGAGUAGCGGGUGUAUUGCUUACUUAGCGACAGUUGUGGAGGUACCUACGGCGGCACCGGGACUCGAGGAUAUUCCAGUAGUCCGCGAGUUUUCGGAUGUAUUUCCCCUUGAGUUAACGACAUUGCCGCCGGAGAGGGAGAUUGAGUUUGUGAUUGAUGUAGUUCCUGGAACUACACCAAUCUCGAAGGUACCUUAUCGGAUGGCGCUGGCUGAGCUGAGAGAGCUAAAGGCACAGCUUCAGGAUUUGAUGGAUAAAGGGUUUGUGAGACCCAGUGUGUCGCCUUGGGGAGCGCCAGUGCUAUUUGUAAAGAAGAAGGAUGGUUUGCUCAGGUUAUGUGUGGAUUACCGGGAGCUGAAUAAAGUGACCAUCAAGAAUAAGUAUCCCUUGCCGCGCAUUGAUGAUUUGUUUGAUCAGCUGCAGGGAUCUUAUGUCUUCUCGAAGAUUGAUCUCCAGUCAGGUUACCACCAGUUGAGGGUGAGGGCCGAGGAUGUACCCAAGACGGCUUUUCGGACUCGGUACGGGCAUUAUGAGUUCACGGUGAUGCCUUUUGGAUUGACGAAUGCCCCUGCCGCAUUCAUGGAUUUGAUGAACAGAGUGUUCAAGCCGUUCUUGGAUAGGUUUGUGGUAGUCUUUAUUGAUUAUAUCUUGAUUUACUCCCGGAGCGAUGCUGAGCAUGAGGAGCACUUGAGGAUUGUGCUACAGCUUCUGCGAGAGAAGAAGUUGUAUGCCAAGUUAAAGAAGUGCGAGUUUUGGUUACGGGAGGUCGCUUUCUUGGGCCACGUGAUUUCAGCCGAGGGCGUAGCAGUGGACCCAAAGAAGAUUGAGGCGAUUCGGGAUUGGCCGAGACCGACGACGGUGACUGAGGUACGGAGCUUCCUGGGACUGGCAGGAUAUUACCGUCGGUUUGUGGAAGGCUUUGCGAAGCUUUCCACACUCCUCACACGCUUGACGCGGAAGGGGAUUCGUUUUGUCUGGAGCGACGACUGUCAGAGGAGCUUUGACGAGUUGAGACUGAGGUUGACGUCGGCUCCUAUCCUUGCUCUUCCGGUGAUAGGGGAUGGAUUCGUGAUCUACAGUGAUGCAUCGCACAGUGGACUUGGUUGCGUGCUGAUGCAGCAUGAUAGGGUGAUUGCUUAUGCUUCACAGCAGUUAAAGGAUUAUGAGAAGAAUUACCCUACGCAUGAUUUGGAGCUUGCCGCGGUGGUUUUUGCUUUGAAGCUCUGGCGGCAUUACUUGUACGGCGAGCACUGCGAGGUAUUCACCGAUCAUUAAAGUCUCAAGUAUCUGUUCACACAGAAGGAGCUGAAUCUGAGGCAGCGCCGGUGGUUGGAGUUACUGAAGGACUAUGACAUUAGUAUUCAGUAUCAUCCCGGCAGGGCGAAUGUGGUGGCAGAUGCGUUGAGCAGGAAGUCAGUGCAGAGCCUGAGUUUGAGGAUUACUGAGCAGAGACCCCUACUCGAGGAGCUACGGCGGCUGGGACUCGAGAUAGUACCCCCUCGGUCUACGGCGAGGCUGAUGUCUCUAGUACUACUGCCCACUCUGUUGGAUAGGAUCCGAGAGAAACAGAGUGGAGAUCCGUACUUGGUGAGGAUUAGAGAGCAGCUAGACAGGGGGCAGGCUGAGGGUUUUGCUUUGGACAGUUCGGGAGUACUACGGUACAGGGACCGACUGUGUGUGCCUGUGGAUCCGGAAGUUCGAGCGGAUAUUCUGAGAGAGGCUCAUUGUUCCCCAUAUACGGUUCACCCUGGGGGAACCAAGAUGUAUAAGGAUCUUAAGGCACAGUUCUGGUGGCCUGGAAUGAAGAGGGACAUUGGCAGAUAUGUGGCUCAGUGUUUGACUUGCCAACAGGUGAAGGCCGAGCAUCAGGUGCCUGCUGGCAAGCUUCAGAGUCUGCCAGUUCCCGAGUGGAAGUGGGAGCACAUCACGAUGGACUUCGUCGUUGGAUUGCCUAGAGCGCAGGGUGGCUACGACGCGAUUUGGGUGAUAGUGGACAGACUGACCAAUUCUGCUCACUUCCUACCGGUUCAGACUACCUGGUCCAGGGAGAGACUUGCGCAGCUAUACUUGGAUGAGAUCGUUAGGCUGCACGGCGUGCCAGUGUCGAUUGUAUCAGACAGAGACCCGAGGUUUGUAUCCCAGUUUUGGAGGAGUCUUCAGACCGCCUUGGGUACACAGCUACAUUUUAGCACGGCGUUUCACCCAUAGACAGAUGGUCAGUCAGAGCGGACCAUUCAGACUCUAGAGGACAUGCUGAGGGCAUGUGUCCUGGACUUUGGAGGAGGGUGGUAUCGAUAUUUGAGACUGGUUGAGUUUGCGUACAACAACAGCUAUCAAGCGAGCAUCCAGAUGGCUCCGUUUGAGGCGUUGUAUGGACGCAGAUGUCGAUCCCCCCUAUUUUGGAGUGAUGUGGGUGAGCGGAAGACACUUGGACCAGAGAUUCUACUUGAGGCUGAGGAAAAGGUGAGAGUCGUUCGACGACACCUUUUGACAGCACAGAGCCGACAGAGGAGCUACGCCGAUAUCAGGAGACGAGACUUAGAGUUUCAGGUUGGAGAUCAUGUUUUUCUCAAAGUCUCGCCGUCCAGAGGGAUACGCCGUUUUGGAGUACGUGGAAAGCUUAGUCCACGGUUUGUUGGCCCUUUCGAGGUAUUAGAGCGUAUCGGACCGGUGGCUUACAGGAUAGCUCUACCCCCGCGACUUGCUGGCAUCCACGAUGUUUUUCACGUCUCAGCAUUGAGGAGAUACGUUUUCGACCCCUCUCACGUGAUCGACUUCACUCCACUCGAGAUUGGCGAGGACCUGAGAUACGAGGAGCGACCCGUGCGGAUUCUUGCUCCCGAGACGAAAGAAUUGCGCAACCGGGUCAUCCCGUAUGUAAAGGUGCAGUGGAGCAACCACGAGGAGCAAGAGGCGACUUGGGAGCCAGAGACCGUGAUGAGGGAGUCUUACCCCGACCUGUUCGUUGCCCCGUCUUGAGGUAUGUUUUAAGUUUCGAGGACGAAACUUUUUGUAGUGGUGGAGAAUGUAGUAUCCUUAUACAUAUAUAUAUUUAUAUAUAUGUAUAUAUUGUAUGGAUGCCACGUUGCCUUUGCAUGCAUGGCAUACUUAUCCAUUUCCUUAAUUAAGAGAUGCACCCGCACCUCCUUAAUUAAUUUUCCUUCCUCUCUUUUUUCUUGAGCCGUACGCAAGGACGAGGAGAACCCGGUUGAAGUUUGGAGCAACGUCGACGUCGCGUCGCGGAGCCGUUCGAGCGCGCACGUGUUACCGUAGCAUCGCGAGGAGGCCGGGCGAGGGAGUGUUUUCAUCGUUCUCGACGCCGUGCCGGAAUUGGAGUCGCUGGUUGAGGUGGGUAAUCUCUCAUUCCUCCAUGGAUUUCUUCUCUACUUCAAGCUUCAUUCAAUUCGAGCUUAAGUGCUGAUUCGCAGGAUCUUGUCGUCGACUGUUAGUAUUUCAGCUCGUACGCGACGUAGGAGCAUCGGAUUUCGACGAGAUUUGGUUCGUUGGAACCGGGACUUCGAGACGAAUCCAUAGGAUCCUUACUCACCCAAUUUGGAAAAGGUUUGCUCUGUCGAAAUUCCUUUUUACUGAGUUGCUGUUUGCCGAGCAGACUCUGAAGUGCUGAUUGCUGAUUCCAGCAUCGACCCGCCGUGUUUUACCUAGUUCUCUNNNNNNNNNNNNNNNNNNNNNNNNNNNNNNNNNNNNNNNNNNNNNNNNNNNNNNNNNNNNNNNNNNNNNNNNNNNNNNNNNNNNNNNNNNNNNNNNNNNNNNNNNNNNNNNNNNNNNNNNNNNACGUUUUGUUGGCCCUUUCGAGGUAUUGGAGCGUAUCGGACCGGUGGCUUACAGGAUAGCUCUACCCCCGCGACUUGCUGGCAUCCAUGAUGUUUUUCACGUCUCAGCAUUGAGGAGAUACGUUUUCGAUCCCUCUCAUGUGAUUGACUUCACUCCACUUGAGAUUGGCGAGGAUCUAAGAUACGAGGAGCGACCGUUGCGGAUUCUUGCUUGGGAGACGAAAGAAUUGCGCAAUCGGGUCAUCCCGUAUGUGAAAGUGCAGUGGAAUAAUCAUGAUGAGCGGGAGGCGACUUGGGAGUCUGAGACGGUGAUGAGGGAGGCCUAUCCCUUUUUGUUUGAUGCCUGAGCAAAGGUAUGUUUGAGUUUCGAGGACGAAACUUAUUGUAGUGGGGGAGGAUGUAGUAUCCUUUAAAUAUACAUCCAUAUAUAUAUAUAUGGAUGCCACAUGCCCCAUGUAUAUACAUAUAUAUAUAGGUGGAUGCCACGUGCCCCCAUGCAUAGUUAUCCAUGCAUUUAAUUAAGGGAAGCAACCUAAACCUCUCUAAUUAGUUUUUCUUUCUCUCUUUCGUGUGGAGUGGAGAGCCGAAGCGGACGAGCCGCGUAGAGGUAGCCGCGAAGCUCGGAUUCGCCGUCGACGGCGUGCCGCGGAGUCGCUCGAGCUUAUUUUCGACGUCGUGUUGCUGCGAGGAGGCCGGGCGAGUGCGGCUUUUCGCCAUCCUUGAUGUCGUGCUGGUUCUAAGGUAUUUUUUUUUUUUGAAAUGCUUUAUCAGUGGGCAUUCCUCCAAUUACUUCAAUUCCAUCAAUUUCGAGCUCGGGUGCUACUGCUGCAGAUUUCUGCGUCGACUGUCGGUGUUUUGGCUCGUACGCGACGUAGGAGCAUCGGAUUUCGACGAGACUUGGUUCGUUGGAUUCGGGACUUCGAGAGGAAUCCACGAAGCCCUCACUUGCCAGAUUUGGUGAAGGUUAGCUUGGUCGAAUCUCAUUCCUACUCUACUGCUGCAAAUUCUGGACUGAAUCGGUAAUUGGUUGGUGUAGAGCUUGGAGUUAGCGCGAUUCUUGAGAUCGAAGUACUACGAUCGACCCAGCAGGUGGAGCCACAGCUGUGAGAGUGUUUCGCUGCCGGGGAUUUGCGUGCGAGGUGGGUUACAUCGGCUUUACUCCUAAGUUCUUAUUGGUCGACAUGUAUAGAUUUUGAUUUCGGUAAUUAAUGUUAGCUCAAAUUCAUGGAUUAAUUGUAGAUUGUGAAAUCUGAAUUUUGGAGCAUGUUUUAUAAAUUAAGUAGAUUAUACAUGUUGGACUUGAAAAUUGAAUUAGGAGAAAACCUGCGAUUUAGACCUGUCACCUGUAUAAACUGCCUGAUUUAGCUCUAGGAGCCGUUAGAAAAUUGUACUGUCGCAAUUUCUUCGAGACGAGUACUCCAGGUAGUCUAGAAUGUAUUUACACUCAUACUGGUUCGCCGAGUGGAUUUUUACAGGGUCGUUCAGGUUGUUUCGGACUGUUGGGUGCCGUCAGAGUUGACGGUGGACCCGUAUCGCCUUUUUGGCGUCAGACUGUGCCGAGGGCACGUUACCUGUUGGUUGUUAGAUCAGUUUGAGUCGAUUACUUGACUUUGGCUAGUUGGAGCCUGAUUGAGCUCGACAGAGAUACGCUGCAUACUCGGUUGGGUAGCGCCCACGAGUGCCACUCCGNNNNNNNNNNNNNNNNNNNNNNNNNNNNNNNNNNNNNNNNNNNNNNNNNNNNNNNNNNNNNNNNNNNNNNNNNNNNNNNNNNNNNNNNNNNNNNNNNNNNUGAGGAGGACCAGACCAAGCGCCUUGCAGUGUCAGGAGCGAGGUGUUAGUUAUCAUCGUAUCAUGGCGCGGUCGGUUAGGUAUGGCUCGUGUUGCAGCUUCAGGACGUCGACGGGAUCGUGGUUGUCCAGACGCCCGUACUGGGUGCUUAGGUUGACGUGGCCUGUGCUGGUUGUUGUGAGUCGUUGGACAUUUUGUACCAGGCCCUAGACGUGGAGAGCACGGACACUGUUACGGGGAUGGAGAUCUGGUACGUUGUUACGUUUACGAGCCGAUUGUUUCCUUACGCUACGUGGUCAUAGUUUUUCUCACGCUUGAGAUUACGGUCUUUAGUUUCACUAUGGACGGUGAUGAGCCAGCCGACGACAUCUCAGGAGAUGGUCUCGACGUAUCUGAGACGGUGAGCCUCGGACGACAGCGGCGAGUGGGACAGCGCCGUACCUGCUGGAUAGGAGGACCGCCGUUGAGCCACGACGAAACAUUCGGACGACUCCACGACCACCUCGACUUCGACUACUACCACGACCGCUACGACGAGCCCCUGUUCGACGGGAGUACACAGGGCCGACUGGUGUGGGCAUCGUGGCCGGGAGGGAGACGAGUGUGACAGACCCGGUCACACCAGGAGGCGUCUAGUGUGUGACGCCGCAGGAGAGACAGACAGGGGAGACUGCUCUCAGGGACCUAGCGACUGCGGGGCUCUUAGGUGCUGGGACACUUGCGCUAGCACCUCCGGAGCCGCCUGCGGACGAUGAGCUGACUGGAGGCAGCAGACCUCGACCCGCGAAGGACAGGACUGAGACAGGGCCGGGGACUCGAGAGAGGGCGUCGCUGUGGAGAGGAGAGAGGAGGGUAUUACGGACGAGUUACCUGCGUAGGUUUCAGGAGCUGGAGACGCGGGAUUGCUUGGACUUAUCCAGCCCAGAGUUUGGGACGAGCUUGUUUAUCUGGGAUACACGGAGUAGAGACCGGUGUUUGCCUUGUGUCAAGUCCUCAGAUCAUUUGAGGGCUUGUAUGAGGACUUGACAGGCGAGUGGGACGACCUAGGAGAAGUUUAGGAGGAGCUAGAAGACAAAGUACGACAACCUUUUUAUGUAGGGUAUGUCGUAAGGUGUCUUGAGUAGGGUGGAGUCGACGCGGCGGUUGUCAGGGACCAGGGCGGAGCGAGAGGCGGUGGUUAGUGCACGUAGUGGACUGUUUGUCACAUGAGGGUCACCAUGGACGAGGGGGACACCUUGCUUGUCUAGGAGUUUAUUGGAGAGGUAGCGUGACUGGGUAGGGAGUUGUUGGGUCCGGAGUCACGGCGACGGUAGCUUCUAGCCACCCAGUUUAGCGGCUUUUGCUCGAUUGGAGAGGCAGGUGGCGAGGACGAGCCGGAGUCAGUUGCCAUGGCCGGGGGAUCGUCCGCGUUGACCGCGAUGACCUUGACGACGGCUGCCUCCUUGACGACGUCGACCACGCCAGUGACCUCAUCAGCCCCCACCGUGACCGCUGAGACCAUGAGAGCCACGACUUGAGCCACCGACUCGAUAGGAGAGUGUGUUGGAGACGUUAUUGAGGGGGACGACGGAGCAGUGGAGUCAGUCCCGCCGGUUGACACGUGAGUCUAGUCCCCUACGCGGUCGGAGUCCAGCGCGUGAGCCGAGAUGUUGUCCCCCACGUGAGCGGAGGCCAGACAGUGAGACGAGGACGGCUCAUGAGACGAGGACGGCUCAUGAGACGAGGUAGACAAGUCCAGAGAGUCCUUCAGGGCGUGCUCCAAACAUAGUGUAAAGACCUCCUCAAACGUCUGUCGGAACCCAUGUGUCGACGUAAAAUCGUGCCGCAAGGUGGGUGUCUGUCUACCAGUCAGUCUCGCCUGGUAUGUCUGAGAUCUCCUGUACGACUCCCGUACGCAGGACCUAAAACCUCCUCCCACCAUAGCUGUACACUUUGACCAACUCAAACGCAUGUUGUUGUCGAUAGUUUAUUCGUAAGUCUACCGAGGCAAACUCCGCAACAUUACUUUUAGAGGCUGCAGGAGCACGCUGUUUGCCACCUGGAUAUCUUCGGCGAGGGCUCGACAGAUGCUGAGUAGCGGGUGUAUUGCUUUCUUAGCGACAGUCUCGCGACGCCCUUGCCUCGAUCCUGAUCCGCGGAAGGCGCAGCAGCCGAAACCUGUAGCUCUGCAAAACAGGGGUAACAACUGGGCGUGAGAACUACUAUAAAAACAAGUAGUCCUCAGUGGGUGCCGCCCAAAACAACAUCAGUCCACCCACUAAGUCUACAGAAGGGAGCAAGAAUAGUAGUAAAUGCAGGAAUAAAGUCUACUGCUAUCAAACACUAUACUAUCAUUCUCUACACUAACCAACUGUAAAAAUGUCCAAUCUGACCCAUGGCAUGCUUAUCCAUUUCCUUAAUUAAGAGAUGCACCCGCACCUCCUUAAUUAAUUUUCCUUCCUCUCUUUUCUCUGGAGCCGUACGCAAGGACGAGGAGAACCCGGUUGAAGCUUGGAGCAACGUCGACGUCGCGUCGCGGAGCCGUUCGAGCGCGCACGUGUUACCGUAGCAUCGCGAGGAGGCCGGGCGAGGGAGUGUUUUCGUCGUUCUCGACGCCGUGCCGGAAUUGGAGUCGCUGGUUGAGGUGGGUAAUCUCUCAUUCCUCCAUGGAUUUCUUCUCUACUUCAAGCUUCAUUCAAUUCGAGCUUAAGUGCUGAUUCGCAGGAUCUUGUCGUCGACUGUUAGUAUUUCAGCUCGUACGCGACGUAGGAGCAUCGGAUUUCGACGAGAUUUGGUUCGUUGGAACCGGGACUUCGAGACGAAUCCAUAGGAUCCUUACUCACCCGAUUUGGAAAAGGUUUGCUCUGUCGAAAUUCCUUUUUACUGAGUUGCUGUUUGCCGAGCAGACUCUGAAGUGCUGAUUGCUGAUUCCAGCAUCGACCCGCCGUGUUUUACCUAGUUCUCUGUGUAGGAGUGUCGAAACGUGACGAAAUUUGACGUGCUAGAUUCGCGACUUCGAGACGAAGAUUCUGAGCCCAAGAUCGCGAUUUUUGGAGCAGGUUUGCCCUGUCGAACCCUAGUUUUACUAGGCUGCUGUUUGCCGAGCAGAUUUCAGAGAUGCUGUUUCGCAGGUUCCAGCGUCGACGUUUCGUAUUCUGGCCCAUUCUCUGCGCAGGAGCGUCGGAAUUCAGCGAAACCUGGGCCAUUGGAUUCGUGACUUCGAGAUGAAGCUUCAGGACCCUUGUUUGCUGAAUUUGGAUAAGGUUAGCUUGGUUGGAUUUAACGCUUUCUUCGCUGCCAGGAGUUGCUUGAGAGGUAGGUUACAUCGGUUUUUACUCCUAAGUUCAUAUUCGUCGGCAUGUAUAAUUUUCGACCUUUGGAUACUCUAUUCUAGCUCGAAUUCAUGGAUUAUAUUGUAGAUUGCAAAUCUGAAUUUGGAGCAUGUGGUAAUAAAUUAAGUAGGUUAUACAUGUUGGACUUGGAAAUUGAAUUAGGAGAAAACCUGCGAUUUGGACCUGUCACUUGUUUAAACUGCCUGAUUUAGCUCUAGGAGCCGUUAUUAAAUUGUACUGUCGCAGUAUCUUCGAGACGAGUACUCCAGGUAGUUUAGAUUACAUUUACGCUCGUGCUGGUGCGCCGAGUGGAUUUUUACAGGAUCGUUCAGGUUGUUCCCGACUGGUGGGUGCCGUCAGAGUUGACGGUGGACCCGUAUCGCCUUUUUGGCGUCAGAUUGUGCCGAGGGCACAUUACCUGUUGGUGGUUAGACCAGUUUGAGUCGGUUACUUGACUUUGGCUUUUCCUAAUAGGCUAUAAUCAAAACAAAUGGGUCUAACUGGUCCUACAACUAAAACUUACGUGCCCUUCACACAAUCCGAUGCAAAAAUAGCAAACUGGGUCCACCGUCAACCGCGACGGCACCCGACAGUGCGGAAUAGUCUACAUACUACUGUAAAAUAAGCUCGGCAUUCCAGCACGAGCGUAAACUCAUCCUACACUAAUCUGGAUAUCCAUCGCAUACUAACAGUGACGAUACAAAAGAACCACAGCUCUUAAUGCUAAAUUUGGUAAUUUUCAGAAAGUGACAGUGUAGAAUCGAAAUGUUUUCUCCUAAGUCAAUUCCAAGUCCAAUAUGUAAAAUUAUACUACUAGCUUAACUCCAAAUUUAGAUGUUAACUCUAAUCCAUGAAUUUGAGUACUAGGAAGAAAACCCAAAGAUACAUGUCAAUGACAUAAAAACUUAGAUGGUAUUCCCGCGAUUUCGGUAAACUUCAACCCACCUCGAAAAGCUCGUCCAACUACGGCGAGAAGUCGAAAGGAGAGGAAAUCACGCGCUCGCCCGGCCUCCAACGACGCAACUGCGAGGUACGCACACUCGUACGACUCUCCGAAUCGACGUCGAAAUUUUUUCCGAGCUCGAGCCACUACCUCUACCAAGCAUACGACCAAAAACUAGAGAGAAAAAUGAGAAAAUUAUCCUCUCAAGUGGAUAGAUAUGAGGGGGAGUAGGUUGUGUGGAUAACCACCAACCAAAAUGACAAUACUACCCUUCACCAACUCAACAAGCUAGCUGGAGUAUCGAUAUCCGAUUUGGUUACUGGUACUCGGCCUCUCAGCCUGCAAGUUCUCACCCAGGGUACCGGUAUCAGCCCGAUACUGUACCGGUAUUGUACCGGUACUCAGCAUUAAAUUGGCACAAUCCGAN